rnacentral:antisense_RNA from 1 species
GUUUGAAUAUAAAUUUAUAUUAGGCUAUAAGUGUGAAUAUAUGUAUAUAAUAUAAGUUGCCAAAUGCAUGUAAACAUACAGAAAACGGAUGAGGUUUCAAACAUUAUCAAGCUUUAAUAUGGUAACAGAAUAAAGAGAAAGUAGUUUAUGCUUUUUGAGAUACUUUAAAUAUAGCUGUUAUUCAUAGCUUGUUAAAAUCUGAGCAAGUUCGUUUUGCGUGGGGAUACUUUUAGGGUGGAUUGACUUGACAAUGUUUUGCUGAGCUAGAAUCCAUAUAUUGUCACAAUCUUUAAUAGACUCUGCAUGAUGAGCAACGAUAAAAAUGUUACAAUGCUUAAAGUGAGUAGCUAGAAUUCUACUUAUGCUUUGUUGUAGUCCCUGAUCUCCAUUUGUGUUCGGAGGAGGCUCAUCAAUUAGAACCAUUCUAUAUUGUCUUGAGUGUAUUACCAGCUUAGCUAUAGAAAGGUACCUGAGUUGUGAUCCUGAUAAAGAUCCUGCAUUAGAAUAAAGAUUAUUUUUCACUUCAUUAAUAAAAAUAGGGUCAAGUAAACAUUUAUCCAAUCCUAGCAAAAUUUCACCAUCAGUAAGUUCCUCGUACGGGUCCAGGAAGUCUCUGAUAGUCCAACCUUUUAGAAGUAAAGGUAUUUGGGGAAGAACUCCAAUAAUCCUCCUUCUUUCUUUGAUAGAGAGCAUGGAAAUUGGUGUUUCGUCCAGAAGAAUUUGGCCUUUGGUAUACUUAACCAGACCAAGGAGGGCCAGGAUUAAGGUAGAUUUUCCAGAUCCUGUUCUUCCUACAAUACCAAUCUUCUCGAAAGGUUGAACGUUAAUAUUUAUACCAUCCAAAACUACACUAUAAGAUGUACCCAUAAUAUCACUAUAUCCAACUUCUAGAUCCAUAAUCUUGACUCCUGUACGCUUUGAAUCGGACUUAAAGAUCCCACUCAAAAGCUUAUGACUCAUAUUUUCAUUUUCCAAAACGAUUUUCUUCUUGCCAAAGCUAUUAAAUCUAUAAUCUAUGACAAAGAAUAGAUCAUCAUUAAUUUCCUCAAUCUCUACUGAAUCAAAUCUCCUAUAAGUAUAAUUACUAUUACCAGUGGUAACCUGAUUUAGAUUUGGAUUUGGAUUUGGAUUCGGAUUCUGAAUUAGUGUAUUAUUAGUAUAAAAAGUUCGAUUGUUAAAAUCAUCUUCUCUAUUGUUAUUAGUGGAUGAUUUGGUAGAGUUUUCAAUGGUGGUUUUUGAGCUUCCAUUGAAGCUGUUAUUAUCACUAUUGACUUCGGUACCUGGUUUUGAUCCAUUUGAUAUUAAAGAAAAAAUCCUUUCACUACUACACAUAUCUCUUUCCAUGGACGCAAAUCUGUAUGUAAUUACGCCCGUAGUAUCUGAUAUCAAUAAAGAGUAAAGUAAAGCAAGAUACCUCCAAUUGCUUUCAACUGGUAUAAAUAGAAUAAAAAUGAUCAAAGGAAGAGUAUAUAACUGAAGCCUAAUAGCUGCCCAUUGACUUGCAAUAUGUUGAAGUAGCUUUAUUCGUUGAAGAUGUUCAAUCUGAAGUAAGAACUGGUUAAGGAGAUGUCUCUGAGCAUUAAAGGCAUGAAUAACCACAAUGCCAUUAAUUAGCUGAGAAAAGAGGCCAUACAUUGGAGAAAGAACGGAAAGAGCAACUUUCUGUGCCCUAAUAUAAGUAGAAAUAUAACGUUGACAAACAAUUUUAUACGUCAUAAAGGUAACCAUUAAUAUUAUUGGUAAUGAAUACGGUACUGCAUAGCUUAAUAUUGAGAUUUGGAUCAAGAAAUCGAUUGAUGGAACAAUUACUGAGGCAAUUUUCUUCAAAGGACUCUCGUCCAUGACCAACAUAUCUGUGCUGAGUCUGUUCAUUAGAUAUGAAGUUGGGGUUGAAUCAGAAAGCCAAAAUGGAGAAAAGAGAAUCUGACGAAUUAAGUUGUUAUGGGCAAUAUUGGAAGCCUUCACACCUCCAAUAGCUUCUCCAAUAAAAAGUAGAGCGCAAAGAAGUCCUUGGAAAAGUACAAUAAAUGUGUAAAUCCAAAUAAAAUUUGGAUUAUUACUGGAAUCAUUAUAACUGAUAAAUGUGUCAGAGUAACGGUCAAACACUGAUUUUAAUAUACAAGAAAUGAGUAACACUAUGCACCAUGCUCUUCCAACUAGAGAAAAAUACCACCAAUAAAUUUCAAGAGUAUUUCUUUUCCCUGGGCUUAUCUCAGUUUCCAAGACCAAGUCUGCUGGCAGGCUUACAGGUUUAUAAAAUGUUUUAGAAGAAGUUAGUGUUAAUGAAACCUUGUUAUUCAAAGUUGAUGGACUGGUACAUGUUCCAGAUGACGUAGGUGUUGUUCCGGUAAUUGAAUGAAAGCUUUCUAUACUUAUAUUUUUACUCUGAAGAGCUGAUAUCUGGUGGCUAAUGCGGUGUAUUACAUCUAGCUCCUCAUUAAUAUCAUUUGAAUUGUCUGUUAACCUUGAUUCUAAUUUAUUG